UUCACACAAAAAACAAUACACAAAUAAAUAUCGUUGUUACAUGAUUAAGUGAAUAAACAGCCCAAAUGAACAAAUAGUGUUUGCAACUGAUUUGGUUGAUCAAAACGGCCUAAGAUCUUUGCUUUCUCUUCCUUCGGUUGAGCUUCGACAGCGCACCCGAUGCGCUGGUACCCUCAAGCCCCUUAGCAAACUUCAUCACACCUGCCAUACCCUUGCGUG
rnacentral:misc_RNA from 1 species